UACAGGCAAAUCAAGAAGAAUCUGUGAAAAGGGUAAAAGAGUUCCAAAGUACUUUUCACAUAAGUCAUCACAACUGAGGUCCAUUCACUACUAUACUGCUGAAGUACAAGAGGAGGCUUUGAUAUUAGAUCAUUUAAAUACUGGCAUUUUCAUUUACUAAAUUAAGAAAACUGAAGAAAAAUCAGAAGAAGAGAGAUGAAGAAACAGUGGCACAGAGCUCGUGUGACAACCAGGAUCACAAAGCUGAGGACCGGUGGAGGCAAGAGUGGAAGCUAGCAGAGCAGCUCCAGGACUCUCCUGGUGCUGCUCAACCACGUUCCAGACGACUCUGCUCUGUGGCAGCAUAAUGCCCCUGGGACCUGGGACCAAACAAGCUUUACCACCUUAUCUCCACUCCUUCCAACACAGGACCUCUACACCACAAUUUGGACCAAGCUCUCACUGACCCACAAAAACAAUGUGAACGCCAACCUCAAGGCUUCACUUGUGCUGUUCACAUAGUGGAAUGCUCUCCCUCCUUCUCCUUUUCAACAUCCGUUAAGGCUGAUGGCAAUUACACAGCUUUCCAAACUGUUCCUUCUGCCAACCUUUCCACCUCGUUGGAAUCUGUUUCCUGAGACCUGUGCACCUGAUAUUUAACUGGUUUAGUAUUAGUAUUCAUGCUUUGUGUUUAUGUACUCUAUCAGGUAAGAUGGUACAUGACCUUGAAGGAAGGCCCAGCACAGGUCUGUGAACCUAGCUCAGUAAAUGUUGAUUGAAUUUAUAAUAACCUCUCUAGCAACAUGGUAAGUAAAAUUAAUGCAGCUCACUGUCAUAAAGUAACACUCUAGGAAAUCAUCCCAAGACGUUGUGGGUAAAAUUAAAGGUACAUAUUAACUUCCAGGGUAUUUUUCGACCUAACAGACAAUUUUUCCAGCUAAUCACGUCAACUAAGUAGGCAUUUCUGUGUUUGGAUACAGAGUCAGUCUAUGCAUAUGUGUGUGCAUAAACAGCCAGGGACAGACAUUUAAGCAAUGUUCAAAUACAGCAUUAAAAACAUAAUGACGGA